rnacentral:rRNA from 1 species
AUUGAACGCUGGCGGCAUGCUUUACACAUGCAAGUCGAACGGUAACAGCACUUCGGUGGCUGACGAGUGGCGAACGGGUGAGUAAUACAUCGGAACGUGCCUAGUAGUUGGGGAUAACUACUCGAAAGAGUAGCUAAUACCUCAUGAGAUCUAAGGUUUAAAGCAGGGGACCUUCGGGCCUUGCGCUACUAGAGCGGCUGAUGGCAGAUUAGUUAGUUGGUGGGAUAAAAGCUUACCAAGCCGACGAUCUGUAGCUGGUCUGAGAGGACGACCAGCCACACUGGGACUGAGACACGGCCCAGACUCCUACGGGAGGCAGCAGUGGGGAAUUUUGGACAAUGGGCGCAAGCCUGAUCCAGCAAUGCCGCGUGCAGGAUGAAGGCCUUCGGGUUGUAAACUGCUUUUGUAAGGAACGAAAAGCCCUCUUCUAAUACAGGAGGGUCAUGACGGUACCGUAAGAAUAAGCACCGGCUAACUACGUG